UACAGAGGUCUCAAGCGUUGUUCGGAUUCAUUGGGCGUAAAGGGUGCGUAGGCGGCGCGGUAAGUCGGGUGUGAAAUCUCGGAGCUUAACUCCGAAACUGCAUUUGAUACUGCGGUGCUUGAGGACUGGAGAGGAGACUGGAAUUCACGGUGUAGCAGUGAAAUGCGUAGAUAUCGUGAGGAAGACCAGUGGCGAAGGCGGGUCUCUGGACAGUUCCUGACACUGAGGCACGAAGGCUAGGGGAGCAAACGGG
rnacentral:rRNA from 1 species